GGAAUCAAACCAGCAUCCCUUUGGUUUGCAGGUCCACCCUCAAUCCGCUGAGCUAUAUCAGCCAGGGCUGUAUUACAGCAUUCUCUUUGCUAGAGUUUUGUUGAGGAAUUUCAUGUCUGAAAUCAUGAGCAUUUUGAUAUACAGUUUAAUUUUUUUGUACUGAUGUUGGUGUCUGAGUAAUACUGUCCUUCCAAGAUGACCUGGGAAAUAUUUCUCUUUUUUUUUCCUUUUUUUUCUGGAUGAGAUUUUGUGGAUUUGGUGUUAUUUCAUCUAUUUCUGUAACAUUAUGUCUUAGAAGUGUGACUUAAAAACUGAAUGUUGCUAGCUAUUUUUUCAACCUACCAAAGUUACUAGUAAUUCUCUAUCUUGUAUUUUUCUUUGAAAAAUUUAUAUAGAUUAUUUACAUUCUGAACUUUGCUUUUAGUUGGGAAUUUAUAUACUCCUAUUUUAUUAAUGUUUAAGCUAAAAUUAUAACACUUUAACAUAAAUGAGCAUAGAGUUCAUACCUUUACCUUCUUCUUGGACAAUAUAAGGAAUAUUACUGAGGAUUGCAUAAUUCUAUUUUACUCAAAAAGAUAAUAUGCUUUAUGCAGACAAUGAGCAAUUGUAUUAAUGCACAGCUGGAUCCUUAUCUUGGAUCUUUAUUACUGCUAUUGAUACAGACCUUUCACCUAGAUCACUUUCCUUUGACCUUAAAUGAAUAACCUGUGAGUUACUUUUCUAUUACAUUUUUCAUAUUUGGCUACACAUGCUCGCUCUUGAAAAACGCUGUUGAGAAUAGAAAUCUAUGUUGGAGAUGAUUUCUUCAGCAUCUUCAGUGUGUUCUUCUGCUAUACCCCUCAACCCGUAUAUAUUGGGUAUGGGUGGAGACAAUUUAUUUUGUGUUGAUUAUUUCCUGGUGGUAAGGAACAGUAUUUGAACCUGAUACAAAGGACUACAUACCCUAGAGAUUGUUCACAGUGAGAUGAACUCAGUAAUUAUAGGGGUUUUGAGUUGUUGGGUGACAGUAUCAAAUGCAUAGGGGAAAUAAUAAAAUACAUAUACUUGGUGAGCAAAUUGAUGGAUUGUGACAAACUGGCUGGAUGUUUACUAAUCCCAUUUUCUCUUUCUGGACAUCUGUUAAGAUAGCAUGUCCCAGCUUUCCUCAUACUUAAUUGGAAUCAUUUAAAUAUAUUGCAGACAAUCAAAUGUUGGUAGAAAUGACUGUGAAUUGUAUCUUAAUUGUUCUUGCCUUUGUGCACUACCCUGGGGAUAGAUAUUCUCAGUUAUUCUAGAUUUUACACCUCCCCAGGAUUUAGUACUUUUCUUGGGGGCUAUAGGUUGAGGUGAUAGAUGCUGAUGGUGCAUUGAUGAGGACAGGGCCUAAUGAUUACCUGAAGCCUCAGCUGGGCCAUCCCAUGGUCACAUGUUUGUACCACAGUCUACUUGCCCUGAUGGUCAGAAGGGGAGGACAGGAAGGGGAGAGGAAGGUCCUGGUUACUAUGAACUAGAUGACAUCCUGUGUCACAAGCUUAAUACCAUGUAAUACAGGCCUGAGGGCAGUUAAUCCCGAUAUUCCGAAGAUCCAAGUUGUGUGCCCUGCAGUAAUAAUGUCUCUUGGGCAACAAGUCUGCCUGUAAUUUAAGAAACCCUACUGCUCUGUCGUUUAAGAAAUAACUAAAUAAGUCAGGUAAUACAAAUGUGUCCUCUUUACGUGAAACUUUUAAUCAAAACCUAGAAGGCUACUUGCUGAAUCAGAAAGUCAUAUUUUUAAAAAAUAAAAAAUGCCAAUCAUUCUGCAAAGAAGCAUCCCAGUUUUUACCUCCCACAGCAGUGUAUAUGAAAGCAUUAUGAUGUUAACACUAAUGUCAGUGAUUAGUUAACACUAAUACAGUAAUAACCCCGCCCUCAUCACAGGGAAUACUUCCAAGACCCCCUUUGGAUGCUGAAAUCAAGAAUAGCUUUGAACCCUAUACAGUGUAUGCUUUUUCCUACACACACGUGCGUAUGUAGAGGACAUGCUGGAAAACAAUGAUCCAUGUCCCAGGUGAGCUGGAGCAGGACAGGGCAUGCUUUCAUCGUGAAAUUUGUGAAUAAUUUCUGGACUUCUGCAUUUAAUGUUUUCAGACGUUGGAGGACCAGGAGUAACAAACUGCGGGGAGCAAAACAACCCAUAAGUAUAGUUAUUUAUUGAGCACUAACCAUAUGAUAAGCACUCUGAGGGCCUUCGUAUUUCUCAUUGUAGUCGGAGCAGCCCCUGAGGUGGUCAUACUGGAGUGAGCACCACAGGAUUCUUUAAAGCAGAAUGCUGCGGCGUACCAAACGUUUCUGAUUCCCUGGGUCCGGGUGGGGCCAUAGAGCUUGCAUUUCCAACACAUUCCUAAAUCCCACCACGGAUAACUUCUGUCUGAGGGUAGGGAAUACCCAAAUAUCUAUUUGGGUAUUUUUAAGAGAAAGUGAAACCUUGCCUCGGUCUUUGCAAAUCAAAGUCUAUUUCCGGUCUGUUUUAACACUGCCAAUGGUGGGUUGCCAUGGGAAAGGGAAGCAGCGCGUGAGCUCAGAGGCUAGGUAGCUUGUAUUACGGAAAAGUGGCUGCUUGCGCUUUUGCCUUGUGCUGGGCCAAUGAGUGCUCAGAGGAGGGGCACUUCUGGACGGGGUGGAACUUCCUGCCGAUUCCAGGAGCAUUUCCGUCAGCGUGCAGUUGGCGGUCAGAAGGGGACCACGUGGCUUCAGCAUGCGUGUAGGUGUCUCUGGGGGGCUAAGCAAGGGAGGCGAGUGACGUGGCUGGUGUGUCCUGCGCCUGUGCGAUUUUGACACCAGCUCUGGCCCCGUCUCCGGUGCCCCAGCUACCAAAGGCUGCAGCUUGGAUCUUGGGAGUUCUUUACGCCAUUUUAUAGCAACGCUCGGAGUGCGGCACAUAGCAGGUGUCCCUCCCGAGUCGCCCUCCAGGCAGCUCUGAUGAAUCCUGCGCAGGGCUGUGUGACCUUCGAGGACGUAUUUGUGUACUUCUCUCGGGAGGAGUGGGGGCUCCUUGAUGAGGCUCAGAGGUGCCUGUACCGUGAUGUGAUGCUGGAGAACUUUGCCCUGGUGUCCUCACUGGGACUUGCAGUCUCUAGGUCCCACGUGGUUACACACAGGGAGCCAGAGGGGCGUCAGGGUUCCUGAGAAGGUAGACACAGCUCCACGUGCAGAAAGAAGACAAGAAGGAGGCCUGGCCCUGGUGAGAAGCUGUUUGAAUGGUGACAUCAGGACUGGCUUCACAUUACCUGAGCAUUCUGUGCUAUGUCAACUAGCAGUUUUCUGCCAUGGUGGCUAACUUAUCUCAUUUUUUUUAUACUUUGCUCACUUGUCAUUUCUGCCCUGACCUUAGUACCUGUUAGUCCCCCACCCUUUCAGUCCUGCAUCUCAUCUGUUGGUACUCAGUCCUCUACCCUGUGACAUUUCCUCUGUUCUGUGACCUUGGAGGCCCAAGGCCCUUCCUUAUCUUGAUUCUGGUGUGCAUGUUCUGUCCACAGUCCCAUGGACCAAUCCCUGGUUGCAUCAGACCAUGUUUGUUACGAGAUGCCACUUGCCACCCAUUAAACUUGUACUUCCCCAGCAUUUGUCUCCUCCAGGCGGCUGGUGUGGAGCGGAGGAUGAGGCUGCAUGCCCUGAGCAGGGUGUUCUGUAAGAGUGUCACUGAUGAGAGCUCCCAAGACAGGUCCUUUCACCCAACAGGCUCACUCCUAUGACAUGCAUGGUCCAGCAUUGAAAGACACUUUGCACAUGGUUGAGCUACAGGGAACACCAUCUGGUCAGCAACCGUACAGUGACAUGCGUCAUAUAAGGGAGACUUCUGGUUCAGUGUAAAACUUGAUCAGAGGCAGCAGCAACAGUGUGGAAAGAAAUUCUUUAGAAGUGAAACACCAGGCCUCAUUUGUGAAGAGCUGCAGCUUCUCUGUGGUAGAGAAGGCCUGCAUUUGCAGGGAGGGUCAGAAGAACUUCGGGCCAGCUCUGGGUUUGUCCAUCACCAGGCGUCUCAGUGGGGAGGAGCCACACAGGAGCACAGUAUGGGGAGGCCUUUCUGUGCAGACAUCACUAGUAAAUCCGUAUGUGUCUCAGAUUCCUGUUAGGCAAGAACGCAUAGCCUGGGGUGAUAAAGCUUUCCUUUUUCUCGGCCACCCCUACUGGAAGGAGCCUCACUCUAGGGUCAGUUGACUUGGGCAGUGUCAAAGGACUCGCAGUGCAGGGAUACAGGGAACAGUGAGGAACAUUAGAAACGCAGGAAGCCCAGGGACAGUUUCCCAGCAGAGUCUCCCCAGGAAGAUGACCUCUGAACACAAUGGUGUGGGGACAGAUAAUAACCUGCACUCCACAGUCCAUGCUGUAAAGGAUCUCCACAAGUGGAAGGAACACAGGAAAAGGCUCAACAAAUACUGGCAUGUUUAUACCAUCAGCAGGUCAUGCUUGGGUGCAGCCCUCUGGCUAGUGAAUGUGAGAAAGCCUUUCUUCAGAGGGCAGAGCUCAGUCAGCAUGUGAGGGUUUAUACUCAGAGAGGCCAUGUGGGUGCUUCCAGUGAGGAAGGGCCAGCAACCAGAGCCAGACUUCAUGCAGUACCAGCAGGGUCUCACUGGGGAGAGGCCUCCUGAAUGCAGAGAAUGUGAGUCUCACAAUUGUGACUGUUUUAACACUCUGGACAAAUUCUGUUUGAAUGCGGAGUAUGCGGGUGAGCCUUUUGUGACAGCUGUUUUCUCCCUCAUCACAUGAGGGUUCUCACAGGAGAGAAGCCCUGAAUGCACUAAUGUGGAAAGGCCUUCCUUUGCUUUUCAGGGGUUUCUUUGUGGGAUUACAGGAUCCACACUGGAGAAAAAUCCUUUAAUGUAAAGAGUAUUGGAGAGCCUUUUGUGACAGAUCUUCCCUAAGUCAACACAUGAGGAGUCACACUAGGGAGACAUACUAAUGUAGUGAAUGUGGACUUGCCUUCUGCUUUUGUUCAUUUCUCACCCAGCCUUGAAGUUUUCACAUUGAGGGGAAACCCUAUGAGUAGAGAGAUGUGGGAAAGCCUUUUGCAAGUGGAGUUACCUUAGUAAAUUCAGAGAACUCAUACUGGGGAAAGACCUUUCCAAUGUAACUCCUGAGGAAAAUCUUUUGACCAGAAGAGAUGUAUUACUCAGCAUCUGAAAAAUUUUACCCAAGAGAAACCCAAAAUUGUCAUCACUGGGAGAAAAUCUUCUGACACCAAUCAUCACCUAUUGUCAUCUAAAGAAUUAUUGGAAAUUGACCAAUAUCUGAGAAUUUAUGGUUAUUGUGUAAUUAUAAAAAACCUUCAUGUAUAGUUUUACUCUUAGCACUGAAAGGCAGUUACAGGAAUGUUUAUAAAACAAAAAACAGAUAUAAAGGAGGAGGAAGAAAAGUAAAUAUAACCCCCCAAAAUGUGUCCACCUACUUUUGGGUUUCCCUGACAAACCCAUGAUUAUUUGUUUUUGGUUGUUUUUAGUUGUUGGGUGAUGGGGAGCAGCAGGGUUUGAGAAAUGGCCCUGUCCCCAUCACCUGUCAUGAGCACCUCCCACUUGAGUGCAGCUCUGCAAGUAUUUAUUGAAAUCCUUUAUUGCAAGACAUCGUCUCAGUAAUUGAGAAGCAUACGUCUUUGUGAUAAAUGUGAAGGCUUCAUUUAUGAAGCACUUAAAACUCAAUGAGAAUACUAAAAAAUUGUUGCCUGAAAUUAUUUUAUUUCUAAGGAGGUAAGGACUCACCUAGGAGUGGGUAUGUUUUACUGUACCAUUUGACCAUUCAAGGCCUCAGAUUUAUUUAUUGUUUUUGAGAUAUAAUUGACAUAAAAUUGUGUAAGUUUAUGUAUACAAUGUAUUGAUCUAAUAUAUUUAUAUUGCACAGUGAUUUCCAGUGGUUGGCAUUAGCCAACACCUUUAUCAUAUCUCAGAUUUAUCACUUCUAGUGGUGAGAAUAAAUAUGAUCUAGUCUCUUACCAAGUUUGAUGUUUACAAUACUGUUUGUGACCUCUAAAUUGUAUAUUAGAUCUCUAGGAACUAUUUAUGUACUAGUUGCAAGUAUGUACCCUUAACAGUCUUUCCUACUCCCCCCACCCACCAGUCUUUGGUAACCAUCAAUUGCAUUCUUUAUUUUUACAACUUUGUUUUUAUUUUCAGAUUCCACAUAUAAGGGAUAUCAUAGAGGGUUUAUCUUUCUCUGACCUGUCUCAGCAUAAUGUCCUCAAGGUCCAUCCAUGUUGUUGGAGAUGGCAGUAUUUCCACUGUGUGUUUGUGUAUUACAUAUUUUUUCUUUUAUGGCCUGACCAGGGAUCAAACCCACAAUUCUUUGAAGAGCCUACAUACCGUUCUCCAAAGUAACUGGACCAGGUAUAAUCCCAUGUACAGGGUUCUCUUCUUUCCACUUUUUUGUCAACACUAUUAUCUCUUGAUGGUAGCAGUUUUUACAGGUGUGAGGUGAUAUAUUAUUGUGGUUUUGAUUUGCAUUUUUCUGAUGAUUAGUGUUGUUAAACACCUUUUCAUGUACCUGUUGGCUAUUUUUAUUUUUUAUUAGUACAUUUAUUAAAAAUAUAGACUAAUGGUCCUAUGCUUAGAUGUUGUGACUAUGUGCUGGCUGCCAAAAAACAUAACUAAUCAUGAGAAGCUCUUCAACAAAUAUACUCCAGACAGAAGUAUGAAGGUCAACAGAAAUGACUGACAAGAUAGGGCAUAAGGACACACUAUGACCACAAAACAUCUUUUCAUACUUCUCAAAUAGUUUUCUAUUUUAGUUCUGAAGAUCAGUUACCACAACCAAACUUGUUUUUAACAAGUGGAAGUACUAUGUUCAUUCAGUGAAAGAGUCUAUUAUAUCUUUCGGAACCUAUUUGUAGAGUAGGAACGUUCCAAGUUCUUAUGCAUUCACAUGAGAUGUCCAGUCUUCAUAUGCUGUCCAAUUUUUUUAAGGUAAAAGGAGUGACUCGCCACAGGGCCACAUAGAUGAGAAAGGUUUGUGUGGAGGAGAGUACAUCCUCGUCUAUCUUAUAUUUCAUCUCAGGCUCCUAGAUACAAAACAUUGUGGCUCUGCCUCACCAGUUUCCAGGUGCUGCAUUCUGCUCCUUUUGUCCAUUUUUUAAUGCUUGUUUGGGUUUUGUUGUUAUUUAGAUGUUUCAGUUCUCUAUAUAUUUUGUAUAUUAACCCCUGACCUGAUACAUGGUUUAUAAAUACUGUUUACUAUUUCAUAGGUUGCCCUUUUGUUAAUUAUUUCUUUUGCAAUGCACAAAGUUUUAAGUUUCAUAUAGUCCCACUUGUUGAAUUUUUCUUUUGUUUGUGCUUUUGGUAUCAUAUCCCCAAAAUACUGCCAAGACCAGUGUCAAGGAGUUUUUCUCCCCUAUGCUUUCUUCUAGGAGUUUUACGUUAUCAGGGCUUAUGUUUAAGUCCUUGAUUCAUUUUAAGUUAAUUUUGUGAGUGGUGUAAGAUAAGAGGUUCAAUUUCAUUUUUCUGAAUGUGGUUAUUCUGUUUUCCCACCACCAUUUAUUGAAGAAACUAUUUUCCCAUUGGAUGUUCUUGGCGCCCUUGUGGAAUAUUAUUUGACUGAAUAUGUGGGCAUUUAAUUCUGGGCUCUCUAUUCUGCCCCAUUGUCCUGUCUGUUUUUAUACCAAUGCUAUACUGUUUUAAUUACUAUCGCUUUGUAAUAAGAUAGUUUGAAAUCAAUUAAGUGUGAUGCCUCUCAUUUUGCUCUUUCCCACGAUUGCUUUGGUUAUUUGGGGACUUUUGUGGUUCCACGCAAACUUUAGGAUUGUUUCUUUAAACAAAAUCUUGUAGUUUUCAGUAUACAGGUCUUUCGCUUCCUUAGUUAAAUUUAUUACUAUGUAUUGUAUUGGUUUUGAUGCUGUUUGAAUGGAAUAGUGUUCUUUAUUUCCUUUUCAGAUGUUUCAUGGUUAGUGCAGAGUAAUGUAAUUGAUUUAUGUGUAAGAUCAUAUGAUCUGCAAUUA